rnacentral:rRNA from 1 species
RNSGUAGAACUGCGGAAGGAUCAUUGUCGAUGCCUGAAACGAGCAGACCGCGAACGCGCUGUACCCGAACGCCCCGCAGGUCGGGGGGGACGUGGCGUGCCCCCGGGCCCGUCGCCGUCCCGCCCGGCCCUAACGAACCCCGGCGCGGAAAGCGCCAAGGAAAACCGUAACGAAGCGCCCGUCCCCCCCGCUCGAGUCCCGUCCGCGGCGCGCGCGGGCGGGGGCGGUCCGGAACGCCUCAUCUAUGUCGGAACGACUCUCGGCAACGGAUAUCUCGGCUCUCGCAUCGAUGAAGAACGUAGCGAAAUGCGAUACUUGGUGUGAAUUGCAGAAUCCCGUGAACCAUCGAGUCUUUGAACGCAAGUUGCGCCCGAGGCCUUCGGGCCGAGGGCACGCCUGCCUGGGCGUCACGCAUCGCGUCGCCCCCCUCCCCCGCCCCCCGAGACGGGGCGGCAGUGGCGGGGUGUGCGGAGAUUGGCCUCCCGUGCGCCUCGGCGUGCGGCCGGCCUAAAUGCGAUCCCCCGGCGGCGUCCGUCGCGACCAGUGGUGGUUGAACCCUCAACUCUCGCGCUGUCCGUCGCGCUCCGCGGCGCCGCCCGGCCGGGCAUCACGAACGACCCCUGGACGCGCCCCUAACCCUAAGGGUGCGCCUCCGACCGCGACCCCAGGUCAGGCGGGAUUACCCG